GUGNNGGGNNGCUUACCAUGCAGUCGAACGAUGAAGCCAGCUUGCUGGUGGAUUAGUGGCGAACGGGUGAGUAACACGUGAGUAACCUGCCCUUGACUCUGGGAUAAGCCUGGGAAACCGGGUCUAAUACUGGAUACGACCUUCCCACGCAUGUGGUGUUGGUGGAAAGCUUUUGUGGUUUUGGAUGGACUCGCGGCCUAUCAGCUUGUUGGUGGGGUAAUGGCCUACCAAGGCGACGACGGGUAGCCGGCCUGAGAGGGUGACCGGCCACACUGGGACUGAGACACGGCCCAGACUCCUACGGGAGGCAGCAGUGGGGAAUAUUGCACAAUGGGCGCAAGCCUGAUGCAGCGACGCCGCGUGAGGGAUGAAGGCCUUCGGGUUGUAAACCUCUUUCAGUAGGGAAGAAGCUGAUCCUUUGGGUUGGUGACGGUACCUGCAGAAGAAGCGCCGGCUAACUACGUGCCAGCAGCCGCGGUAAUACGUAGGGCGCAAGCGUUAUCCGGAAUUAUUGGGCGUAAAGAGCUCGUAGGCGGUUUGUCGCGUCUGCCGUGAAAGUCCGGGGCUUAACCCCGGAUCUGCGGUGGGUACGGGCAGACUAGAGUGCAGUAGGGGAGACUGGAAUUCCUGGUGUAGCGGUGAAAUGCGCAGAUAUCAGGAGGAACACCGAUGGCGAAGGCAGGUCUCUGGGCUGUAACUGACGCUGAGGAGCGAAAGCAUGGGGAGCGAACAGGAUUAGAUACCCUGGUAGUCCAUGCCGUAAACGUUGGGCACUAGGUGUGGGGGACAUUCCACGUUUUCCGCGCCGUAGCUAACGCAUUAAGUGCCCCGCCUGGGGAGUACGGCCGCAAGGCUAAAACUCAAGGAAUUGACGGGGCCCGCACAAGCGGCGGAGCAUGCGGAUUAUUCGAUGCACGCGAGANNUACCAGGCUUGACAUGANNGA
rnacentral:rRNA from 1 species